rnacentral:rRNA from 1 species
CAUGCAGUCGACGGAACGAUGGAGAAGUUUACUUUUUCAGGCGUCGAGUGGCGGCACGGGUGAGUAAUGCAUAGGAAUCUGCCCUAUAGUUUGGGAUAACUACUCGAAAGAGUGGCUAAUACCGGAUGUGGACUACGGUUUAAAGCAGGGGACCUUCGGGCCUUGCGCUAUAGGAUGAGCCUAUGUGGGAUUAGCUAGUUGGUGAGGUAAAGGCUCACCAAGGCGACGAUCUCUAGCUGGUCUGAGAGGAUGAUCAGCCACACUGGGACUGAGACACGGCCCAGACUCCUACGGGAGGCAGCAGUGGGGAAUAUUGGACAAUGGGCGGAAGCCUGAUCCAGCAAUACCGCGUGUGUGAAGAAGGCCUUCGGGUUGUAAAGCACUUUUGUCAGGGAGAAUGGCAGUUGGGGUUAAUACCCUUAGCUGUUGAUGUUACCUGAAGAAUAAGCACCGGCUAACUCCGUGCCAGCAGCCGCGGUAAUACGGGGGGUGCAAGCGUUAAUCGGAAUUACUGGGCGUAAAGGGCGCGUAGGCGGUUACUUAAGUUAGAUGUGAAAGCCCCGGGCUUAACCUGGGAAUUGCAUUUAAUACUGGGUAACUAGAGUGUGGUAGAGAGUAGCGGAAUUUCUGGUGUAGCGGUGAAAUGCGUAGAUAUCAGAAGGAACACCAAUGGCGAAAGGCAGCUGCUUGGGCCAACACUGACGCUGAGGCGCGAAAGCAUGGGGAGCAAACAGGAUUAGAUACCCUGGUAGUCCACCGCUGUAACGAUGACACUUAUUGAUGGGGAGGGUUUACCUUUCGUUGAUGGUAGCUAACGUG